AUACGUAGGUCCCGAACGUUGCGCGAAAUUACUGGGCGUAAAGGGUCCGUAGGCGGUCUGGUAAGUGGAAGGUGAAAGCCUGGGGCUCAACUCCAGAAUUGCCUUCCAAACUGCCGGACUUGAGGCAGGGAGAGGUCGGCGGAAUUCCCGGUGUUGCGGUGAAAUGCGUAGAUAUCGGGAGGAACACCAGUGGCGAAGGCGGCCGACUGGAACUGUCCUGACGCUGAGGGACGAAAGCCAGGGGAGCGAACCGGAUUAGAUACCCCAGUAGUCC
rnacentral:rRNA from 1 species